AUUGCGUCAUUUUCGAAGUGAAGCUGGUUGUGUUCGGUUUGCUCAACGUUUUGGUUUAUGUUGAGCCUUCAUCAGUAGGCUUCAGUUUUCUUUCUGUUUAUUUUCAGUAUUAAGUUUAGUUUUGCUGUGGAACGAGAACAAUGACAUCAGCACAAAAGAAAAAGAUAGAACAACCAUGGCCUUAUCUCUUAGAAUUAAUAUUAUCGACGAAAACGUUACCAAAACUAUCGUUUUCGAUCCAGCGACGACUGUCCAUGAUGCCUGCCGAAUCAUUCGAGAUAAAUGUACAGAGGGUGAACAAUCUAAAGACUACGGACUCUUCCUCACUGAUGAAGAUAAUAAAACGGGGGUGUGGUUAGAGCCUGCACGGAAUUUAGAGUACUAUAUUUUAAGAAAUGGAGACCUUAUUGAGUAUAGAAAAAAACUGCGACCUCUUAGAGUUAAAAUGUUGGACGGUGCGGUAAAAACAAUGAUGGUGGACGAUUCACAAAUAAUAGCAAACCUUAUGGUCGUCAUUUGCACAAAACUGGGGAUAACGAACCACGACGAGUACUCCCUCGUUUUAGAAGACUUGGAAAAUCAAGAAAACAUCGACAACCGCAACUACGGUACCCUCACUUUAAAACGAAAGAAAGAGGAAAGAGAAAGAGACGCAAAAAUGGAACAAUUGCGUAAGAAGCUACACACUGACGAUGAGGUCAAUUGGCUCGAUCCCUCUAAAACAUUACGUGAACAGGGAAUCGAUGAAAUGCAAACGGUGUUGCUCAGGAGGAAGUUCUUCUAUUCAGAUCAGAAUAUCGACUCGAGAGAUCCUGUGCAAUUAAAUCUGCUGUAUGUACAAGCCAGAGAUGCGAUCUUGCAAGGAACUCAUCCGAUUACACAAGACAAGGCUUGCGAAUUUGCCGGGCUUCAAUGCCAAAUACAAUUUGGGGAUCAUGUAGAAUUAAAACAUAAACCUGGAUUUUUAGAUCUUAAAGAAUUUCUUCCACAAUCCUACACGAAAAUAAAAGGUAUAGAAAAGAAGAUCUUCUCCGAACACAGAAAACAACAAGGUCUUAGCGAACUAGACGCCAAAGUCAAAUACACCAAAAACGCUCGCUCUCUUCGUACCUACGGAGUAACAUUCUUCCUGGUUAAAGAAAAGAUGAAAGGAAAGAACAAGUUAGUUCCCCGUUUACUCGGUGUGACCAAAGAUUCUGUUUUGCGUCUGAACGAGCAGACGAAAGAAAUUCUGCAGACCUGGCCAUUGACGCAGGUGAGGAGAUGGGGAGCUAGUCCAAACACUUUCACCCUCGAUUUCGGUGACUACUCCGAUCAGUAUUAUUCAGUACAAACGACGGAAGCAGAGCAGAUCCAGCAGAUUAUAGCUGGGUACAUUGAUAUCAUCUUGAAGAAACAACAAGCUAAGGAUCAUUUUGGUAUCGAAGGAGACGAGGGAUCUACUAUGUUCGAAGAGAAUGUUGCUAAACAGAAAGCAACCAUUUUGCAACACGAAUCUAGUAAGAUGGGCAGAACCAGCAUUGAAUCUUUGGCCAAACCAGCAGUAAUGAGAGCCGCUGAUGGGUCCAGAGUAGACUACCAACAUGCAACAAACCAAAAUAACGAUGAUAAUAUCAGAACCACAACGUGCUCUAUUAUCAACAAUUUCCGCAACGCAAUCCAGAAUCAAAGAAUCAGAAAUCGAGCUUGAAGCCAGAGCACACGUUCCAGAAUUGGGUACAGAUCCAGCUGCAAAGAAAUGGAAGCAAGUUACUUUGGAUACCAAGAAGCAAAAUGUCGGAUCACAGAUAGCUGCCAUGAGCGCAGCUACUGCUCAAGUGGUUACGCUCACCUCUGGACCGCAAGAUGAAGUGGACCAUACUGCUGUUGGAGCUGCCAUUACAACAAUCGGUAGUAAUUUACCAGAAAUGACUAAAGAUGU
rnacentral:misc_RNA from 1 species